UGUCAAGGUAGAAAGAAUUACUGCUACUGUUUGCCAACCGAAGGGCUCGGAUUGGUCUUGUAUCUUGUAAGAAGACUUGUAUGUGACAGUUUUACUCUCGAUUAUGCAUAAACGAUCAUUGCCUUUAUAAAAGUCACAUCGCUCUCUCCUCCUCUUCACAACUACUCUCUCCAUCCACCAUUGCUCUCUUCUCAAACCAAGCAUGGCACUUGCCAUAUCAGCCCUUCUCUUCCUUCUCUUCACCAUGUCAUCUGCCUUGGACAUGUCAAUCCUUACCUCUAAUGACAAUCAACUAAACCAUGAUCGAUCAAGCUGGAGAAGCGAUGAUGAGGUGAUGAGUAUGUAUAAAUGGUGGCUUGCAAAGCACGGUAAAACACACAACAGGCUAGGAGAGGAAGCAGAGAGGUUUGAAAUCUUUAAAAAUAAUUUGAGGUUCAUUGAUGAACAUAACUCCCAAAACCAUACGUACAAAGUUGGGUUGACUAAGUUUGCAGAUCUUACCAAUGAAGAGUACCGCGCCAUGUUUCUAGGCACAAGGAGUGACGCUAAGCGUAGAUUAAUGAAGUCCAAAAGCCCGAGUGAAAGAUAUGCUUUCAAGCCUGGUGACAAGCUGCCGGAAUCCGUGGAUUGGAGAGCAAAAGGAGCAGUUAACCCGAUCAAAGAUCAAGGAAGUUGUGGUAGUUGCUGGGCUUUUUCAACAGUUGCUGCUGUAGAAGGAAUAAACCAGAUAGCAACGGGGGAGUUAAUCUCUCUAUCAGAGCAAGAACUUGUAGAUUGUGACAGGACCUAUAACGCAGGCUGCAAUGGAGGCCUCAUGGACUAUGCAUUCCAAUUCAUUAUCAACAACGGCGGCCUGGACACCGAAAAGGACUAUCCGUACGUAGGAGAUGAUGAUAAAUGUGACAAAGACAAGAUGAAAACUAAGGCUGUUAGCAUUGAUGGGUUUGAGGAUGUUUUGCCGUACGAUGAGAAAGCAUUGCAGAAAGCUGUGGCUCAUCAGCCAGUUAGUGUCGCCAUUGAAGCCAGUGGCAUGGCUUUACAAUUCUACCAGUCUGGAGUGUUCACUGGUGAAUGUGGGACAGCCCUCGACCAUGGCGUGGUUGUUGUUGGAUAUGGCUCGGAGAAAGGCUUGGAUUACUGGCUUGUUAGGAACUCAUGGGGAAAGGAAUGGGGGGAGCAUGGAUACAUCAAGAUGCAGCGUAACGUCGGCGACACAUACACUGGCAGAUGUGGGAUUGCAAUGGAAUCUUCUUACCCAGUCAAGAAUGGCGAGAGCACUGCUAAACCUAACUUGGCUGAAGCAAAAUAAGAAGGGAAGGUGAUUGAAGGUGUAAAACUGGAUGAUUGGUGAGAUUCCGUGUUGAUUUAUCAAGCUGAAUAGACGCUGCUUAUCCUUCUUGAUCUCAGUUUACCGAAAUGACAAUCAGGCGAGCUGUUCAUGUUCGUUUCUAAUUCCAUGCAUGAUUAUCGUUGUAUUGUAUAUAUAGUUUUUCACUAUUCUUGUUUAGCUAUCGCAUGUCUCUUUAAAAGAUAAAAUUACGGGAUUUGAGUUAUAAACCUUACCUUUUAUCCUAAGAACUUGCUGUAACCAUUGAAUAAUUAUUGCUAUCUUGAGAAUUAUAUUCUUACU